CUUUUCCCACCGGAGCUUGCUCCACCGGGAAAAGAGGAGUGGCGAACGGGUGAGUAACACGUGGGUAACCUGCCCAUCAGAAGGGGAUAACACUUGGAAACAGGUGCUAAUACCGUAUAACAAUCGAAACCGCAUGGUUUCGUUUUGAAAGGCGCUUUACGGUGCCGCUGAUGGAUGGACCCGCGGUGCAUUAGCUAGUUGGUGAGGUAACGGCUCACCAAGGCCACGAUGCAUAGCCGACCUGAGAGGGUGAUCGGCCACAUUGGGACUGAGACACGGCCCAAACUCCUACGGGAGGCAGCAGUAGGGAAUCUUCGGCAAUGGACGAAAGUCUGACCGAGCAACGCCGCGUGAGUGAAGAAGGUUUUCGGAUCGUAAAACUCUGUUGUUAGAGAAGAACAAGGGUGAGAGUAACUGUUCACCCCUUGACGGUAUCUAACCAGAAAGCCACGGCUAACUACGUGCCAGCAGCCGCGGUAAUACGUAGGUGGCAAGCGUUGUCCGGAUUUAUUGGGCGUAAAGCGAGCGCAGGCGGUUUCUUAAGUCUGAUGUGAAAGCCCCCGGCUCAACCGGGGAGGGUCAUUGGAAACUGGGAGACUUGAGUGCAGAAGAGGAGAGUGGAAUUCCAUGUGUAGCGGUGAAAUGCGUAGAUAUAUGGAGGAACACCAGUGGCGAAGGCGGCUCUCUGGUCUGUAACUGACGCUGAGGCUCGAAAGCGUGGGGAGCAAACAGGAUUAGAUACCCUGGUAGUCCACGCCGUAAACGAUGAGUGCUAAGUGUUGGAGGGUUUCCGCCCUUCAGUGCUGCAGCUAACGCAUUAAGCACUCCGCCUGGGGAGUACGACCGCAAGGUUGAAACUCAAAGGAAUUGACGGGGGCCCGCACAAGCGGUGGAGCAUGUGGUUUAAUUCGAAGCAACGCGAAGAACCUUACCAGGUCUUGACAUCCUUUGACCACUCUAGAGAUAGAGCUUCCCCUUCGGGGGCAAAGUGACAGGUGGUGCAUGGUUGUCGUCAGCUCGUGUCGUGAGAUGUUGGGUUAAGUCCCGCAACGAGCGCAACCCUUAUUGUUAGUUGCCAUCAUUUAGUUGGGCACUCUAGCAAGACUGCCGGUGACAAACCGGAGGAAGGUGGGGAUGACGUCAAAUCAUCAUGCCCCUUAUGACCUGGGCUACACACGUGCUACAAUGGGAAGUACAACGAGUCGCGAAGUCGCGAGGCUAAGCUAAUCUCUUAAAGCUUCUCUCAGUUCGGAUUGUAGGCUGCAACUCGCCUACAUGAUAGCCGGAAUCGCUAGUAAUCGCGGAUCAGCACGCCGCGGUGAAUACGUUCCCGGGCCUUGUACACACCGCCCGUCACACCACGAGAGUUUGUAACACCCGAAGUCGGUGAGGUAACCUUUUGGAGCCAGC
rnacentral:rRNA from 1 species